GCACUUUAGCAGCACAUAUACUAAAACUGGAACAGUACAGAGGACAUUAGCAUGGCUGCUGUGCAAGGAUAACACAUAAUUAAUGAAGCAACUCACAGAACAU
rfam:Cathartes aura contig11451, whole genome shotgun sequence.